rnacentral:rRNA from 1 species
AUUGAACGCUGGCGGCAUGCCUUACACAUGCAAGUCGAACGGUAACAGGUUAAGCUGACGAGUGGCGAACGGGUGAGUAAUGUAUCGGAACGUGCCCAGUCGUGGGGGAUAACUGCUCGAAAGAGCAGCUAAUACCGCAUACGACCUGAGGGUGAAAGCGGGGGAUCGCAAGACCUCGCGCGAUUGGAGCGGCCGAUAUCAGAUUAGGUAGUUGGUGAGGUAAAGGCUCACCAAGCCGACGAUCUGUAGCUGGUCUGAGAGGACGACCAGCCACACUGGGACUGAGACACGGCCCAGACCCCAACGGGGGGCAGCGGGGGGGAAUUUUGGAAAAUGGGCGAAAGCCUGACCCAGCCAUGCCGGGGGGGGGAAGAAGGCCUUCGGGUUGUAAACCGCUUUUGUCAGGGAAAAAAAGGUUCUGGCUAAAACCUGGGACUCAUGACGGUACCUGAAGAAAAAGCACCGGCAAACUACGG